rnacentral:rRNA from 1 species
UACAGAGGGUGCAAGCGUUAAUCGGAAUUACUGGGCGUAAAGCGUGCGUAGACGGUAGCGUAAGUCGGGUGUGAAAGCCCCGGGCUCAACCUGGGAAUUGCAUUCGAGACUGCUCUGCUAGGGUGCGGAAGAGGGAAGCGGAAUUUCCGGUGUAGCGGUGAAAUGCGUAGAUAUCGGAAGGAACACCAGUGGCGAAAAGCGGCUUCCUGGUCCAGCACCGACGUCAGGCACGAAAAGCGUGGGGGAGCAAACAGG